UACGGAGGGGGCUAGCGUUGUUCGGAAUUACUGGGCGUAAAGCGCACGUAGGCGGCUUUGUAAGUUAGAGGUGAAAGCCCAGGGCUCAACCCUGGAAUUGCCUUUAAGACUGCAUCGCUAGAAUUGUGGAGAGGUAAGUGGAAUUCCGAGUGUAGAGGUGAAAUUCGUAGAUAUUCGGAAGAACACCAGUGGCGAAGGCGACUUACUGGACAGAUAUUGACGCUGAGGUGCGAAAGCGUGGGGAGCAAACAGG
rnacentral:rRNA from 1 species